AUGAUGGAUGUGUUGUUCAAGAAUGUAGUACUAUUGGAAAUGACUGUAUUGCACCGUUGCUACACGUUGGAUGGCUAAACAGUCUUACUGAGAAGAGCUCUUUUCACCUCAUCCCAAAGGUUUAAGUUGUAUUCUGCUGCCCAUGCUCUCUUUCUCAGCCUGCCCAUUCCUUUUUAGUGCUUUCUACCUCCUGACAACCAACUCCCCUCAGAUGAUUUUCUAGUGCUCAUGACAUCCUGGAUGUACAAGAUUGCUGGGGCCCUUACCCAGCCGGGACACCUGGAAGGACUGGGAUGUGGCACUUUUAUCCUCCGGACCACGAGGAGGUAACCGCCCUGGAUCGGGGGGACCAUGAGAGAGGAGUAAAGAGAUUCUAACCUGUUGGGACCUGUGGCCACCGCCAGGGGGCGCCUCAAGCCUCGUGGGACCCGGGAAACAGUUACUUCCACCACACCUGGCAAGAUGGCGGAUGAGACU